rnacentral:rRNA from 1 species
GAUGAACGCUGGCGGCGUGCCUAAUACAUGCAAGUCGAGCGAACAGACGAGGAGCUUGCUCCUCUGACGUUAGCGGCGGACGGGUGAGUAACACGUGGAUAACCUACCUAUAAGACUGGGAUAACUUCGGGAAACCGGAGCUAAUACCGGAUAAUAUAUUGAACCGCAUGGUUCAAUAGUGAAAGACGGUUUUGCUGUCACUUAUAGAUGGAUCCGCGCCGCAUUAGCUAGUUGGUAAGGUAACGGCUUACCAAGGCGACGAUGCGUAGCCGACCUGAGAGGGUGAUCGGCCACCCUGGAACUUAGACACGGUCCCGACCCCUACGGGAGGCAGCAGUAGGGAAUCUUCCGCAAUGGGCGAAAGCCUGACGGAGCAACGCCGCGUGAGUGAUGAAGGUCUUCGGAUCGUAAAACUCUGUUAUUAGGGAAGAACAAAUGUGUAAGUAACUAUGCACGUCUUGACGGUACCUAAUCAGAAAGCCACGGCUAACUACGUG